rnacentral:rRNA from 1 species
CCUACGGGUGGCAGCAGUGGGGAAUAUUGGACAAUGGGGGGAACCCUGAUCCAGCGACGCCGCGUGAGUGAAGAAGGAUUUCGGUAUGGAAAGCUCGAUCAGCAGGGAAGAAAAUGACGGUACCUGACGAAGAAGCCCCGGCUAACGACGUGCCAGCAGCCGCGGUAAUACGUAGGGGGCAAGCGUUAUCCGGAUUUACUGGGUGGAAAGGGAGCGUAGACGGUGCAGCAAGUCUGAUGUGAAAGGUCGGGGCCCAACCCCGGGACUGCAUUUGAAACUGUUGAACUGGAGUACAGGAGAGGUACGCGGAAUUCCUUGUGUCGCGGUGAACUGCUUAGCUCUUAUGUGGAACUCCAGUGGCGAAGGCGGCUUACUGGACUGUAACUGACGUUGAGGCUCGACAGCGUGGGGAGCCAACAGGAUUCGAUACCCUUGUAGUC